rnacentral:rRNA from 16 species
GGAUGCGAUCAUACCAACAAUAAAGCACCGGAUCCCAUUAGAACUCCAAAGUUAAGCGUGCUUGGGCGAGAGUAGUACUAGGAUGGGUGACCUCCUAGGAAGUUCUCAUGUUGCAUUCC